GCAAUGUUGGUCUCCCACCCACAAUUGGAUGUUCUGAUUGGAUAUCAACUCCAUGAAAGAUGAAAUGCAUUGUUGUUUUCAUUGACCAAUUAGAAUAUCAAACGUGACAUUCAAUGUCU
rfam:Glycine max cultivar Williams 82 chromosome 18, whole genome shotgun sequence.